rnacentral:snoRNA from 1 species
AUUGAUAGUUGAAGAGUUUAUCAGAUCAUAUCAAGAAGAAAUAUGUUUAUCUUCU